rnacentral:lncRNA from 1 species
GUUUCUGUGUGUGUUACAUUUUAACGUUGUGUUUCCGUUGUGUCGUUUGUUUUCUCUUAUUUUUUUAGUGUGAAUUCGCAUUACUAUAAGACGUGUCACGGUACUUAUCUAUCCCAAAUUCAUGUAUUUGGUUUUGAUGUUAUAUUUGUUAUUCUCAUAGGAUUUUUUCUACUGCUUAGUCCGUUUCUGUGUGUGUUACAUUUUAAUGUUGUGUCGUUGUUCUCUUAAAUUUAAUGCGUUUCCCUCAGUUUUAGUUUGUUACCCCGAUUUUGUUUUUUGUCCAUGGAUUUACGAGUUUUGAACAGCGGUAUACUACUGUUUCCUUUAUUUU